UUUGUGUUGUCUAGACUGUAAUAAGUGCAAGGCAGCUGGAGCAUGAGCCCAGAGCCUUGGCCUUGCUGAUACUCGCCUCCCUCUCUUGCUCCUUCACAACAAGGUUAAGGGCAGCAGGAGGAAUGUGUGAGAAAGGGAGCGAUGUCUGCACGCAGUGCGGGCUCUGAGCAAAUGAACUCCAGCUUUGGUUCCCAGCACUGAAGUUAACCUUUGAGAGCACAACAGUGAAAACAAGAUGCCUGCCUGAGAUGGCUUACAUUUCUGGGCGGAGGCGGGCAUUUCUGGACUCUGCAAUGGGGCUUUCUCAGCUCUGGGAUCCAGCUUUGAUGCAGUCAUGAGCUGCAGGGAUGUCCAUCUCCUGGGAGAGUUUCAUCCUGGGAGGAGACCUGGGUGCCUUUGUCCCGGUGGCUUUUUUUUUGUUCUGGGAGCAGAGGAACCCAGCCAGGCUUCUCCAGCCUUUGCAUGUUCCUGCCCAUCCUCAGCACAGACGCUUGCUUGGGUAUCACGUGGGGAACUGGGGAGCAGGGGAUGCUCUGAGCCCCUGCAAUGCCUCCACAGCUGCUCUGAGAUAGACAGGAAUGCUUUCUUUUUUUCCCAUGCAGAAAGUCACCAGUUGUCAAUUCACAUGACAGGAGUCAGAGCAGCAACAUUUUGGUUCAAUCUAGUCCUCUGCCCACACUAUUCUUCUGCAGGCCGGUGGGUGGUCAUAUGCUAAGCCAAUAUCAAGCAAAUUAAAACCAAAAAGAAGGGCUGAGACCUGCAGUGGUGUCUGGGACCUACAUCCCUAUCCUAUGCAGCUUUCCUUUCCUGGUGAAGUCUGGGUCAAACAUGUCCAUGUGGCUGUGCCAGCAUUUCUCUGCAGGUCUGCUUUCUCUUAGCAAAGCUGAAAUUAGGAAGCUUUGGAGAAUGGGCUUUCAGAGAUGACGAAAAACCUGGAAAAUGAUCAAUGCAUAUCUAAAAAAAAAAAACCCAUGAAGAAAAAGCAUGUUGAAAAUGUUAAAUGUGAGCUUGCUGAGGUUGCUCAAGAGCAGAAAGUCCAGCCAUGCACCCCAGCUGAGCACUCUCCUCACAUCUGGGGAACCUCAAAACAAACUUCUCCUGUCCCACCGCAUCCCUUUGCUACCUCCAUUCCUUACUUGCAUCACCCAGGCCUUGGAGAACACCUUUUCCUCUUAGCGUGUCCCUUCUCAGGGGCACUUCAAGGCAAAGCAGUCCAGAUAUUGAAUUAUUUCUACCAACAUCAGAGUGCUUCUGCUACUCUCAGCAGUGCCCUCUCUCUCUGUCCUGCUCCCAGAACCAGUUGCAGCCCCCAGCCAAAGCUCUUCUAGACCUUACGUGGAGCAGCAGCACACCUUCAAGAAAACUCUUCAUAUUUAGACAUCUAAACAAGAUGUUAACUCUCUUAUUUUUUCACAACAGCAUGACUCACAUCUCACUUGUAUCCCACUGUGUGUUCCCAGCACUGGUUUCCCACCAUGUGUUAGUGCAAUAGGUUACACAGUGCAAUAGAGAACACAGGUGUCUGCUGCUUGAUGCAACUCGUAUCUUCCAGUAGAGUCCUUGCAGUGCUCUCAGUGUGACCAGGAUGUCAAUAUCCAAGCCUGGUGGCAUUCUGGUCUUCUCUGCCCUGGGCAGGUGGAGUGGGCUGCAGGAGCCCUGCCAGGUCCCUGCUGCAUCCCUGCAGGUGCUGGAGCUCUUGCAUCUACCCAGCUUUAUUACAGCAUUAUGAUGAGGCCACCUCUGAAGUGCGGUGGGAUAAGUUGAUCUACGGGCAGCUUGCAACCAGGCCGCUACAGCUGCAGCAACACAUGCUCAGAUUUGGAUGUGACCAGAAUUUUCUGCCACAAACUGCAUGAGGUCCUGCGUUUUCCCAGAAGCCAUGCAGACUUUUGUUUUCUGGUGUUGGGCUAGAAUCUUCUCAUCCAGUUCAUAAAUGAGUGCUUGCAAUUUCAUGCUCACUCUCUGUAAGUAUCAUCCAGUUUGCAUAUUGCCUGAGAGCCCAGCUCUAGCUCUAGCAUCUUAGAAUCAUUCUGUUGUUUCUUUUCCUUUUAAAUAGGUCCUAAGUACCCAAGCAUUGCACCCCACGUGUUGGUGCUUGUGUGCAGCAUACAAAACCUGCUCUCUGGCUGUGCAAUUUCUCCUGGUUGAGGAAGAGGAGAGGCUUGUCCCAACAGAUCCAUCAUCUGCUUCCUGAAUUGCUCUGCAAGGAACCAGCUUUCCUUCCAAGCUCAAAGCAAUGAUUCACCGUCAGCACACGGUCCAGCAGCAGCUGGUAUGCAUGUAACUGAGGCUCCCUUACUAUCAGGAUGCACGUCCUCUCUCUUGUCUUAGGGAGAUCUCAACUGAACCGACUCCUCACCUAAUGCUUCAGCAAUGCCUAACGUGGGAGUGACUAGGCACACCCAAUUGCAACUGCCCCCAUUUCAAACAGCUGGCUUGCAGGGCAUCUAAGAAUUAGUUUUCACUUUGCAUUAGGUGUCUUCAGCCCGUUGAAGCAGAACCUUAACUUACUGUAUUCAACGGCUUUUGGACGAUCCCCUUUUGCUUUCUGCAGAAAAUUAAAAAGAAGGACAAAAUUUUGUUUUAAGGUCCCUGAUUUUGUUUUUCUGCCAAAGCAAAUGAAGGGUCUUUGUUAAAAUUGGUUUUCAGCUGCUCUCAGAGAAUACCCAAGCUAUUCAGGAGGAUUGUACAGCUGAAAUUAUCUGCGACUUUUAGGUUGUGUAUGGAUCAUUUGCCUUGGGAAAGUCCACUAUGAAAUAACAGCCUGCUUUGAUGGGGUUAUCAUUAUCAGAGCAGAGGUGCCCUGUUUCUGCUAUGAAAUGGUCAGGUGAGUGAGAAGCAAACAUCUCAUAAUGCCAUCUGAGGGUGAAUCUCCAACAAAUCUCAGUCUCCCCGCUUAGCAUUUCGGUGUGAAGGUCACCCUCAGGCAGCUUUCCCAUAGGCCACCAUGAGGUCUCCCCAGAGCCUUACCCUCUCCAGGCAGAACACCCUCAGCUCCCUCAGCCUUUAGAGCAGAGGUGCUCACCCCCAUGGCCUCCUCAGGACCUUCACCUAUAACGUAACAGGCAGUGAUGGGAGAGUGAGGGGAUGCUCUGCUCCUGGAGUCGUUGGGUUGGCCAUGGGGUGACCACCACACCUGCUCUGGUGGGGAAGCUGCCCUGCUGCCAUCCCCUCUGAGUGCCCCUGCCCUGGCAAAUUUGGCCCCAGGGGCUCCUGGGGACACAUAGCAACAAAUCCCAGGCUCUGUGGUGGCACUGUGAGCUGAGGGCUGAUGAUGUCAUGGCUACUCUCACUUCCAGGGCUGGGUCCACAUAGGCCACGCUGCUCUGCUCCAUUUCUGCCUUGGGUCCCAUAGCUUCAUCCCCACCAUCCUGCAGGUGGGUGGCAGACCCUGUAGCAGGAAGGCAGGCCUCCGGGCUGCUCCUUAACAGAGGCAAUCACAUUUUCACUCUUGGAUGACAGUGUUUCACUGUGCAGCUCCAGUGCUGUCAUUACAUUUUGCUGAGUGCUGUCUUUAUGCUGCUCUCCCGAGUUACUGCCCAAACAGCCCUCGGCCAUAUACAUCAUCUCCCCAUCUUAUUACACGGUUAUCAUCUUGUUGGAUAUAAAUAUACUUUUCCAGAGCCUGCUACGGUUCCACCAAGAAAUGAAUGCAUUUACAAAAUAAAAUACUUUGCAGGCUGGUAUGGCUGGCAGUACUUUUCCACACUCCUAUAAUUAGAUGGGUCCUAACCAAACUACGUGUAGGAGUCUGGCUAGGACUGCAAAUAAUAGAUUCAGUCUCUAGAUACCCUUCUGCUAACUGGGCAC
ensembl:lncRNA